GGAUCGAGAUCCACGACCUCCAUCCCGACCUGCCUUUCCCUCCUCUCGCUUGUCAGAAAGGAGUGCAGGCCGCUGUUGCCCCACACGAGGUCAUCCUCCUCUUUGGUUUUGCUGAUUCCGAUGGCGUUGGCUCGACCUACAGUUUAUACCGGAACUUAAUCUGAAGGUCAGGACUUCAUGCCCUUUUCUCUUGAGCUGAAACGCAUGCAAGCAUGGCUGUUGACCGAGCCCCCUAAUUCAACUAUUCAGUUUUUUUCAGUGCUGCAGGUUCAUGUUCUUGGGGAAAAAAUCGUUGUCUAUUUCCUAUAUUGGUGAUGCGGGUGAACUGAUUUGGGAAAAUGUCGAUGUUAAAGCAUUUGGUCAUGAUGGAUCAUUUUACUGGUUCUCAGUUCAACUCAAGAUGGCUCAGAUAGGACCAAGUUUGAAUAUUCAUGUGUUGGAUAGGGGUUGGGGUUGGUCUCCUGCACAAGAGGUGAAGUUCAUUUAUGUAAAUUUGUGUCCCGUGGUCAUAUAUUGGCCUGUAGAAUUUAUCAGGUGCCAAGUUCACUUGCCAUACACUUAAUUAUGUUUCUUCUGAUUUAUACUACCGCCUUACAGAAUUUGAAAUUAAUAAACCAUAACUUGUUCAUGAUAAAUUUGAUUG